rnacentral:rRNA from 1 species
AGUGAACGCUGGCGGUAGGCCUAACACAUGCAAGUCGAACGGCAGCACAGUAAGAGCUUGCUCUUACGGGUGGCGAGUGGCGGACGGGUGAGGAAUACAUCGGAAUCUACUUUUUCGUGGGGGAUAACGUAGGGAAACUUACGCUAAUACCGCAUACGACCUACGGGUGGAAGCAGGGGAUCUUCGGACCUUGCGCGAUUGAAUGAGCCGAUGUCGGAUUAGCUAGUUGGCGGGGUAAAGGCCCACCAAGGCGACGAUCCGUAGCUGGUCUGAGAGGAUGAUGCGGCACACUGGAAAAGGAAACAGGGCCCAGACCCCUGGGGGGGGAAGCGGGGGGGAUUAUUGGACAAGGGGCGAAAGCUGUACCCACCAAUGCCGGGUGGGGGAAAAGGGCUUUGGGUUUGAAAGCCCUUUUGUUGGGAAAAAAAAAGCGGGGGGUUACUCCCCCGUUGUUCGGACGUUCCCAAAAGAAAAAGCCCGGGCAAACUUGGUG